rnacentral:misc_RNA from 1 species
ACGGUCCUCGUUUUCUCUGCCUGAUUCAUUAUCGCUUCAAGCUUGAAAUAGAGGACAAUAAGAACGUUUGCCUCUUACCCCCGGUGUGAUAAUAUGUCAGAAUCGGUCAUUGUGUGCAAGUACAAAU